rnacentral:rRNA from 1 species
UACGAAGGGGCUAGCGUUGCUCGGAAUCACUGGGCGUAAAGCGCACGUAGGCGGAUUGUUAAGUCAGGGGUGAAAUCCUGGAGCUCAACUCCAGAACUGCCUUGAUACUGGCGAUCUUGAGUCCGGGAGAGGUGAGUGGAACUGCGAGUGUAGAGGUGAAAUUCGUAGAUAUUCGCAAGAACACCAGUGGCGAAGGCGGACUCACUGGCCCGGUACUGGACGCU